rnacentral:lncRNA from 1 species
UUUGAUUGUUAUUUUUCAUACUCAUAUUUUCUUUUUCUUUUUUUUAAUUACGAUAAUAUUAAUUUUUUAUUAUUUUAAAUUCGAUCAUAUAUUUACCGUCAAUGUUUCGCCGGCAUCACAAGUCUUAGAUAUUAUCUCGACAUAUUAUAAGGUAAUGAAUGAUUAAUGAUAUUGUAUAUUGAAAUAGAGUUUAAAUAAAUUAAUAGGUACUAGAUAUAACAAUAAUACGAGUGUU